rnacentral:rRNA from 1 species
UGCAGUCGAACGAUGAAGCUGGAGCUUGCUCUAGUGGAUUAGUGGCGAACGGCUUAGUAACACGUGAGCAAUCUGCCCUUGACUCUGGGAUAACUGCGGGAAACUGUAGCUAAUACCGGAUACGACACCUUGGGGCAUCCCGAGGUGUGGAAAGAAUUUCGGUCAAGGAUGAGCUCGCGGCCUAUCAGCUUGUUGGUGAGGUAAAAGCUCACCAAGGCGACGACGGGUAGCCGGCCUGAGAGGGUGACCGGCCACACUGGAACUGAGAUACGGUCCAGACUCCUACGGGAGGCAGCAGUGGGGAAUAUUGCACAAUGGGCGAAAGCCUGAUGCAGCAACGCCGCGUGAGGGAUGAAGGCCUUCGGGUUGUAAACCUCUUUUAUCAGGGAAGAAGCGAAAGUGACGGUACCUGAAGAAAAAGCACCGGCUAACUACGUGCCAGCAGCCGCGGUAAUACGUAGGGUGCAAGCGUUGUCCGGAAUUAUUGGGCGUAAAGAGCUCGUAGGCGGUUUGUCGCGUCUGCUGUGAAAAUCCAAGGCUCAACCUUGGACCUGCAGUGGGUACGGGCAGACUAGAGUGCGGUAGGGGAGAUGGGAAUUCCUGGUGUAGCGGUGGAAUGCGCAGAUAUCAGGAGGAACACCAAUGGCGAAGGCACAUCUCUGGGCCGUAACUGACGCUGAGGAGCGAAAGCGUGGGGAGCGAACAGGAUUAGAUACCCUGGUAGUCCACGCCGUAAACGGUGGGUGCUAGUUGUGGGCCACAUUCCACGUGGUCCGUGACGAAGUUAACACAUUAAGCACCCCGCCUGGGGAGUACGGUCGCAAGACUAANACUCAAAGGAAUUGACGGGGGCCCGCACAAGCGGCGGAGCAUGCGGAUUAAUUCGAUGCAACGCGAAGAACCUUACUAAGGCUUGACAUAUGGA